CAAAUAUACUACAGGCUUUACUGUAGCCAACCAACGAGAAAGGGUUCAAACAAAGACCGUUGUUAUAGUUUGGAUCAAAACAACUCUAGCUGGUACAAAACAAAGACCAAAUUCCAACUAGAGCAAAACUUUUCAAUCUGCUUGGCCUGUCCAUGUCGGUAAAUGACAAGCAGCGUUUCGUAGACGUACAGAUACCGUGCCAUGUAACCGCUGAACAAGGACUUCAGUAUCGGAAAAUCACCUGGUACAAGGUGGAAGAGGGUUCUAAUGUGUUAACUGGUCUUGUGAUGAAAGAUCUGCGUACACGUUUGACUUUCCUAUAUAAAUAUGCCAGUCAGCCCUACAAAGUGGGAGGUCAUUAUGCUCUGCUUGUCCCCGAGGCUGGAGGGGAGGAUUGUGGGCGUUACCGUUGCGCUCUCUGGCCUCCUGUGGGUCAUUAUAUUCAGGAUGGAGACUAUGAGUACUAUCCACCAGGUGAGUCAGAUAUCUCAAAAGUGAGUUAUUUAGUGCUGCAGUGACAUUCCCUGUCCAGCUUGUUCCAGUUAAAACAUAAACACACUGAUUCUGCUUGUGUCAGCUGAUGGAAGAGAUUUCUUUCAUGUACAGAAUACAUAUAAAUGCACAGUGAAAUGUCAAUAAUAGAACAAAAGAAAAUGUGUUAAGCAGUGAAAUAUCUUAAAUCUUAGAAAAUCAUGCAUUCAAAUUUCUAAAUUACACAUUAGUGCAAUGUUUUUGGCAUCUUUAAUAUGAUGGCUUCAUUUCUUGGUAGAAUAGAGUUAAGACAUUUUAACUCAGAACUGUGGUGACUGAGUUUAAAGAAUCAUUCAGUUUAAUAGUUUAGAAUGAAUUAAAAAACACCAAAUAUACAUUUUUGUUAAAUACAGGGAACGUCAGCAUACCUUGAUAAACAUUGAAAUCUAAAACAAUAAGACUUUUUCAGAGUACAUUUAAUGAUCUUAUUUCAUGUUUUUUUUUCUAUUUUAUGUUUUUAAUUUCUUUUUCUAUUUUAUGUAACUGUAACUGUAUUUUGUGUAAUUUUAAACAUGGAGCAACCACAGGUUGAAACUGAAAAUGUAAAAAAUGGACUUAGGUUUUAAGACUAUGGUUUUAAAAAUAGAACAAUAUGGAAACAGGUUUUUGUUUUUUUUUCUUCUUUUUUUUUUUCCAGCCAAUACAGGCAUUAUUUCAUGGUCAAUACUUCACCCUUCACCAGCC
ensembl:lncRNA